UACGGGGGGGGCAAGCGUUGUUCGGAAUUACUGGGCGUAAAGGGUUCGUAGGCGGCCAACUAAGUCAAACGUGAAAUCCCUCGGCUUAACCGGGGAACUGCGCUUGAUACUGGAUGGCUUGAGAUUGGGAGAGGGAUGCGGAAUUCCAGGUGUAGCGGUGAAAUGCGUAGAUAUCUGGAGGAACACCGGUGGCGAAGGCGGCAUCCUGGACCAACACUGACGCUGAGGAGCGAAAGCCAGGGGAGCAAACGGG
rnacentral:rRNA from 1 species